UGCGAGUCGAUGUAGCAAUACAUGGCGUACUGCUCAGUAACACGUGGAUAACCUACCCUUAGAACGGGGAUAAACCCGGGAAACUGGGUAUAAUACCCGAUAGAUCUCGGCUGCUGGAAUGCAUCGAGCUCCAAAGCUCCGGCGUCUAAGGAUGGAUCUGCGGCCUAUCAGGUAGUAGUGGGUGUAGCGUACCUACUAGCCUACGACGGGUACGGGUUGUGAGAGCAAGAGCCCGGAGAUGGAUUCUGAGACACGAAUCCAGGCCCUACGGGGCGCAGCAGGCGCGAAAACUUUACAAUGCUGGCAACAGCGAUAAGGGGACCUCGAGUGCCAGGUUACAAAUCUGGCCGUCGUGAUGCCUAAAAAGCAUUGCAUAGCAAGGGCCGGGCAAGACCGGUGCCAGCCGCCGCGGUAACACCGGCGGCUCGAGUGGUAACCGUUAUUAUUGGGUCUAAAGGGUCUGUAGCCGGCCGGAUAAGUCUCUUGGGAAAUCUGGCAGCUUAACUGUCAGGCUUUCAGGAGAUACUGUCUGGCUCGAGGCCGGGAGAGGUGAGAGGUACUUCAGGGGUAGGGGUGAAAUCUUGUAAUCCUUGAAGGACCACCAGUGGCGAAGGCGUCUCACCAGAACGGACCUGACGGCAAGGGACGAAAGCUAGGGGCACGAACCGGAUUAGAUACCCGGGUAGUCCUAGCCGUAAAC
rnacentral:rRNA from 1 species